GGCGAAACGAAACUUGUGAAUCGUGCAUUUGCUCUUCAUGGUAGCUGCCAAAAAAUCGAAUCAAACUUAUGGGACACUGGAUUACAGGUUGCUGCCACUACUCCAUGUGCCCGCAAUUGUCUUGCGUGUAUGAUUACACUAACGGCGUCGCCCACCACGGCGGAAGUGUUUUGCGUACACGCGUUUCAGCAUGAAGCCUGCAGGUGGACGUAAAUUGUAGAAGGCAGCUAGUGGGGGAGAAGAUCAUGGUCAUAGGUCAUGUGACUCCUGGAGCUCCCAGUGGGCUCCCUUGUGGAGUACUUUUCAGAACACACACACAUACAGUUUGCUCACAGAACCAACGAGUAGGAUGUUGCUUGAAUACUGAGAGAAAAUGGCGUAACACAUACAAAUAUCGUGUGACACAUAUGACAAUAAAAACAUUUUUCACGAGGGAUGCAUGAAACACUGUCGCAAUAUUGUGUGCAUGAACCAUUGUGUGUGACACAAGCCGUGGGGGCACACCGCCUCGGACACAUUUUGGGAAGCAUAAAACACAGUAUA